rnacentral:rRNA from 1 species
GGAGAGGGAGCCUGAGAAACGGCUACCACUUCUAAGGAAGGCAGCAGGCGCGUAAAUUACCCAAUCCUGAUUCAGGGAGGUAGUGACAAGAAAUAACAACCUGGAAGACUUUGUCUUUACAGGAUUGUAGUGAGAACAAUCUAAAAACUUUAUCGAGAACCAUUGGAGGGCAAGUCUGGUGCCAGCAGCCGCGGUAAUUCCAGCUCCAAUAGCGUAUAUUAAAGUUGUUGCAGUUAAAAAGCUCGUAGUUGAACUUCUGUACAUUCCCGGUGCCGGCUCUUGUCGAACCGUGGAGUGUGCAUCCGCUUACAAACUCAGCCCGGUCUUCAUUGGUCGACUGAGGGAGUAGGCCCUUUACUUUGAAAAAAUUAGAGUGUUUCAAGCAGGCAAUGGCUCGAAUACAUUAGCAUGGAAUAAUGGAAUAGGACUGAGGUCCAUUUGGUUGGUUAUUGGACUUUAGUAAUGAUUAACAGGGACAGUUGGGGGCAUUAGUACUUAACAGUCAGAGGUGAAAUUCUUGGAUUUGUUAAAGACUAACUUAUGCGAAAGCAUUUGCCAAGGAUGUU